rnacentral:rRNA from 1 species
CAGGGAAUCUUCGGCAAUGGACGGAAGUCUGACCGAGCAACGCCGCGUGAGUGAAGAAGGUUUUCGGAUCGUAAAGCUCUGUUGUAAGAGAAGAACGAGUGUGAGAGUGGAAAGUUCACACUGUGACGGUAUCUUACCAGAAAGGGACGGCUAACUACGUGCCAGCAGCCGCGGUAAUACGUAGGUCCCGAGCGUUGUCCGGAUUUAUUGGGCGUAAAGCGAGCGCAGGCGGUUAGAUAAGUCUGAAGUUAAAGGCUGUGGCUUAACCAUAGUACGCUUUGGAAACUGUUUAACUUGAGUGCAAGAGGGGAGAGUGGGAUUCCAUGUGUAGCGGUGAAAUGCGUAGAUAUAUGGAGGAACACCGGUGGCGAAAGCGGCUCUCUGGCUUGUAACUGACGCUGAGGCUCGAAAGCGUGGGGAGCAAACAGGAUUAGAUACCCUGGUAGUCCACGCCGUAAACGAUGAGUGCUAGGUGUUAGACCCUUUCCGGGGUUUAGUGCCGCAGCUAACGCAUUAAGCACUCCGCCUGGGGAGUACGACCGCAAGGUUG